GCGCCCGUAGCUCAGCUGGAUAGAGCGCCGGACUUCGAAUCCGUAGGUCGUAGGUUCGAACCCUACCGGGCGUA
rnacentral:tRNA from 1 species